AGCAUGAGCAUAUUUUCCUGCCAAUAUUCAGUUAAUUCUGCAGCAGCAGACACCAGCUGGGUAUCUAGUCAGAAUCAGUUCUGACACUGUCUACCUGGAGAUAGCAUUAUAUCCUUCAGGUUGAGGGUUCAGCCCCCAAAACUGGACCUGGAUCUGGCUCAUACACGCACCACCUCCAUUUUAGAUGCCAGUCACAAGCUUCAGGUUGUUCUACCUGUGCUUCUGACUGACUGACUAUAAACCCAAGUUCCCCCAACCUUCUCUUAGGUUCACUCAGUUUGCUAGAGUGGUUUACAGAUUGCAGAACUCAGAGGAACACUUUAUAAAGAACAGAGAUAAAGAGAUGCAUAGAGUGAGGUAUGGAAGAAGGGACAAGGUGUUACCUGCUACUCUCCAGGAACCUCCCCUGUGCACUGUUUAGGUAUCUAGAAACUCUCCAUCUGGUUCUUUGGGGGUUUUGUGGAGACUUCAUUGCAUACUUCAUGCUAAUAUACU
rnacentral:lncRNA from 1 species